rnacentral:rRNA from 1 species
GGCGGACGGGUGAGUAACACGUGGGCAAUCUGCCCGAUACUCUGGGAUAACGCUUGGAAACGAGUGCUAAUACCGGAUGGUCUUCUUGGCCGCAUGGCCGAGAAGGAAAAGACGCGUUCGCGUCGGUGUCGGAUGAGCCCGCGGCGCAUUAGCUAGUUGGUGAGGUAACGGCCCACCAAGGCGACGAUGCGUAGCCGACCUGAGAGGGUGACCGGCCACACUGGGACUGAGACACGGCCCAG